rnacentral:rRNA from 1 species
UAAAACCCCAAAUUGGUGGAACGUUACCAAACUGUUGCCUCGGCGGGGUCACGCCCCGGGUGCGUCGCAUGCCCCGGAACCAGGCGCCCGCCGGAGGAACCAACCAAACUCUUUCUGUAGUCCCCUCGCGGACGUAUUUCUUUACAGCUCUGAGCAAAAAUUCAAAAUGAAUCAAAACUUUCAACAACGGAUCUCUUGGUUCUGGCAUCGAUGAAGAACGCAGCGAAAUGCGAUAAGUAAUGUGAAUUGCAGAAUUCAGUGAAUCAUCGAAUCUUUGAACGCACAUUGCGCCCGCCAGUAUUCUGGCGGGCAUGCCUGUCCGAGCGUCAUUUCAACCCUCGAACCCCUCCGGGGGAUCGGCGUUGGGGAUCGGGACCCCUCACACGGGUGCCGGCCCCUAAAUACAGUGGCGGUCUCGCCGCAGCCUCUCCUGCGCAGUAGUUUGCACAACUCGCACCGGGAGCGCGGCGCGUCCACGUCCGUAAAACACCCAACUUUCUGAAAUGUUGACCUCGGAUCAGGUAGGAAUACCCGCUGAACUUAAGCAUAUCAAUAAGCCGGAGAAAA